ACUCACCAGGUCAGGACACGGUAAGGAUUGACGGACUGAAGGCUCUUUCUCGAUUCCGUGGAAAGUGGUGCAUGGCCGUUUUUGGUUGGUGGAUCGAUCCGUCUGGUUAAUUCCGUUAACGAACGAGACCUCGGCACUCCGAAUAGCGCGGCGGACGUCGCGGCCUCCGGGCCGUCUUCCGCACGAGCUUCUUAGAGGGGACCGUCCCCCCGCCGGGGAAGGAGGUGCGAGGCAACGACAGGUCUGUGAUGCCCUUAGAUGUUCUGGGCCGCACGCGCAUUACACUGACGCGUCCAACGGGUGACUCCCGACCCGAAGGGGCCGGGGAAUCCGCAAGGCGCGUCGUGAUGGGGAUUGAACGUUGCAAUUGUUGUUCACGAACGAGGAAUUCCUAGUAGGCGCGGGUCAUCAACCCGCGCCGAUUACGUCCCUGCCCUUUGUACACACCGC
rnacentral:rRNA from 1 species